CCUUGUAAAGGCUUCAAAAUCCAAAAGCUGCCUUUGGUUUAGAAGCCAAGGACGUUAGGCAGAAACAUUCCAUUUUCAAAACAAAGGCUUCAUUAGAAGAAAAUUCGUCCAACUUCAACAAAUCCAAGCAAAGUUUCGUUCCAAUUUUAGAAGCAGAAGCUUCAUUUUCUCGUUCCAACAUAUUUCAUGGAAGCAGAAGCUUCACUUCGAUCAAAUAAUUCAAGGAACGGGUAUGUUAAGACCCUCCCUUCUUUCUUUUGACAUGGACCAAAUUAUACUGAAGAAACGAGCAAAUACACAGUUCCUAUAAAAUACUGUAUUCAUAGAAAUAGUAGGGGUGUCUAUAUUCUUGAUUCCCCACGAGAAUUAUUAUUAUCUUCUGUUCAUGGGUCUAAGAAUAAUAUGCAGUUGAAAAAGUUUAUCCGGAAGGAGUAUUAAGAUUUUUACGUAUUUUUCAUACAUUUCACUCAUUUAUACAUGUGCAUUGACCCAUGACCAGAUGGCGUUAUAUAUGCGUAUAUAUGUAAUAUAUGUAUAUGGGAUAUGGGAAAAGGUUACAGCGUUAUAUACGCACCACCACCUGAUCAACUGGUAUAUGUUGAUGAUAUUGCCCACAGUGGCCGGGAUGAUAUGAUGGGAUGCCCUUAGUGGCUUGAUGAUAUUAUGUACACUCAUACCUAUGCAUGGGACAACAUUUAUACGCACGCGCAUGAUAGUAUAAACGUUUCAGAAUUUACGAGUUAUUCAGAUUUAAAAAUGUGUUUCCUUAUUCCAUGUUUUAUCUAUGUCUUUUACGUGCUAAUUUUCAUGUCUUACAUACUCAGUACAUUUUUCGUACUGACACCCUACUUCACAGGGCCUGUGUUUCAUGCCCGCAGGUGCAGGUAGGCAAGCUAACGGUCCCCCUUCUUAGGAUCCCUAAUCAGCGAGAGUUGACGUGCUCCACUUGAUCCGGAGCUGCUUUUGAUUUUGGUAUGAUACGUUUGUAUAUGUAUAUAUAUGUAUAGGUAUAACGUGGCUCAGUCCCGUCUUUGUACAGUUAUGUUUCUAUUAGAGGUCUGUAGAUAGUAUAUCUAGUUGGGUUGUAUGUUGCCUUGUCGGCUUUCAGUUUUGGAUGUAUAGUUUUCUAUAGCAGCCUUGCCGGCUCGCCCA
rnacentral:lncRNA from 1 species